rnacentral:lncRNA from 1 species
UCCAGUUUUUCACCUCUUACCCCCCACUCCCUCCCCCAGAUGGCAGGAUGACCAGUAGAUGUUAAAUAUAUUAAAAUAUAAAUUAGAUACAUAAUAAGUAUACAUGACCAAAACGUUAUUUUGCUGUACAAAAAGAAUCAGACUCUGAAAUAUUGUACAAUUAGCUUGUGAAGAAAAUCAAAAAUGCAGGUGGGCAUAAAUAUAGGGAUUGGGAAUUCAAUGUAAUAAUAGUUUUUAGUCAUCUCCCAGAGUUCUUUCUCUGGGCAUAGCUGGUUCAGUUCAUUACUGCUCCAUUGGAAAUGAUUUGGUUGAUCUCAUUGCUGAGGAUGGCCAGGUCCAUCAGAACUGGUCAUCAUAUAGUAUUGUUGUUGAAGUAUAUAAUGAUCUCCUGGUCCUGCUCAUUUCAUUCAGCAUCAGUUCGUGUAAGUCUCUCCAGGCCUUUCUGAAAUCAUCCUGUUGGUCAUUUCUUACAGAACAAUAAUAUUCCAUAAUAUUCAUAUACCACAAUUUAUUCAGCCAUUUUUCAACUGAUGGGCAUCUACUCAGUUUCCAGUUUCUAGCCACUACAAAGAGGGCUGCCACAAACAUUCGUGCACAUACAGGUCCCUUUCCCUUCUUUAUGAUCUCUUUGGGAUAUAAGCCCAGUAGUAACACUGAUGAAUCAAAGGGUAUGCACAGUUUAAUAACUUUUUGAGCAUAGUUCCAAAUUGAAAAGCAUUUUACACAUAUUUUCUCAGCUGACCCUUUCAACAUUCCUGGGAGGGAAGUUCUAUAAUUAUCCCCAAUUUACAGAGGGAGAAAUUGAGGUUUAGAGUGGCUAACUGAUUUUCCCUAGGUCACAUGCCUGAGAAGUAUAUCUAAAGAAAAAUUUCAACCCAGGUAUUCCUGAAUCCAACUGCCACCUUCUAUUCUACCAGAAUAGAACAUUAGUUCCUGGUAGCCCAUCAGGAACAUUAUUCAUAUUUCUUAGGAAUUUUUUUCUUCAAAUGCAUUUAAAUAAUCACUUAUUCCCAUACUUAAAAUAACUAAUUAUUGCUACUUACUCCCUGUGCGUUCUUUAGCAAGCCAUUUAAUCCUUCCUGCCUUAUUUCUUCAUUUAUAAAAUAAUUAAUUUGAAAGAUCUUAGGAUCCUUUUAAUGUCUAAAACUUCUGAUCUUUUAAAAGAAAAAAAGAAGAGAAAG